AUGACACCAUCAACUCGACAAGAAGUUCUUGGCCUUUACCGCAAGGUUUUGCAAAUAGCCAAAAACUGGCAGUCGGCAUCAGGACAGAUAGAGGAGACCAUGAGAGAGAAAGAGUACAUUAGAAAUGAAGCCAGAACGUUAUUCCGAAAAAACAAAAAUGUAACAGAUCCCAAGCUGAUUAAGCAGUGCAUAGAAGAAUGUGAGGCAAGAAUAGAAAUUGGACUUCACUAUAACAUCCCCUACCCCAGACCUAUCCAUCUGCCUCCUAUGGGCCUUGCCCAUAAACAAGGCCGUACAUUGCGACACCAGGAAAAGUUAAGGAAGAUUUCUAAGCCAAUAUAUCUGAAAUCCCAUGAUGAAGUUUCAUAAGCCACCAUUUAAGCUGUGAUGUGUAAUCACGUCCUUUAAACUGUGAACUGCAAUCCAGGGUUCUCUGGUGGUUUGAGGUUCUCUGUGCUCAGUUUUGACUCAAGACAGUGCCUCGUGUAAGGUCAGCCAAAGUCAAGGGAGUCUGGGACAGUCAAGCAGACACAGAUCCUCCAGAGCUUCUGCCUGCCAGUGGGAAUACAGUCACUGCACCAAGUACCUGCUGUCCUUUCUCUCUGCUCUCUGCUGUCCCUGGAGAGAGUUCCAGUUUCAUAGUGCCCUUAUGGGGAUGUUUUGUUUCUGGACAGUAGGAAAGAGACAGAAAAGUGGCAGAAAUGCUACUACUCCUUUUCCUUUUUGCAAACUGCAGAGGAGUGGCCUAGAGUCUCUAUGUCAGCUUUUUCUUCCUUCCUUUGGAGAGGGUGUGGAUGUGAAAUGCAAAGUUUGGAAUGCUAUUACACAAUUCUGAGUAAAACAUUCCAGUGUUGGGUUCCUCAGGUUCCCAUGUAUGGACUGGCUGAAAACUCUGCCUUCAGGCUGUCACUAUGGGAACAAGCUUAGGAUGCUUUGGUGUCCUCACUAUGUUUUUGCAUGGUCAGCUUUUCAGCAUAAUCAGCACACUUUUUUUUUUCAACAAUUAUUUUAAUUUAGUGUUAGGUUUUAACUCUUAUGUUAUAGACCCCAUCUUUAAUCAAAGAUAGUAUCUACAAGUCUCCUCCAAGUUUGAGGGGUAUUUCUGUUUCCCAGGUGCCUCAUGGAUAGAAGUAAAAUUAAAUUAAUUUUUGUUUUAUGGGCUA